rnacentral:rRNA from 1 species
UACGGGGGGGGGCAAGCGUUGUUCGGAAUUACUGGGCGUAAAGGGCUCGUAGGCGGCCAACUAAGUCAGACGUGAAAUCCCUCGGCUUAACCGGGGAACUGCGUCUGAUACUGGAUGGCUAGAGGUUGGGAGAGGGAUGCGGAAUUCCAGGUGUAGCGGUGAAAUGCGUAGAUAUCUGGAGGAACACCGGUGGCGAAGGCGGCAUCCUGGACCAAUUCUGACGCUGAGGCGCGAAAAGCUAGGGGAGCAAACGGG